GGAGGUGCUAUGGUUGUCUCCUUGAGCCCCUCCAUGAUGAUGUCUUUUUGCCCACCAUGACUUUGGUGUUUCUUAUUUUUAAUUCAGGAGUUGGCUCCCUGGGGAAGGAUCACCUCGGAUUACUUGCUGGGACUGGUAUGGGGUCCUCCUUCCCUAUACGCCAUCCUCACCACACCUUUAGAUCAUCUAUUCCAAGCUUCGGUCACUCAGACAUGGACUGCACCUCAGGCAGCCACUGUGGAACGCAUCUUCCAGACCUUCUCACCAUAGAAGAGAGAGACCCACAUCCAGAACAGGAAGAGAGCAGGAGGAAGGUGAUACUCACCACAGAAUAGAGGGCUGCUUCUUUUGUUGUAAACACACCUGGGGGAACAGUCCAGGGAGCCCACCCUUACUACAGUGGUUGAGGGAAGAUCUCCAAAGGUGGGAACUGGUAAAGUCCCUUGGUGAUCAAGAUCUGGGCAGUGAGUCUCCACAAUCUACCCUUCGGACUCACACCAGCGAUUGCUCACUUCCAAUUUACCAGCUGUAUUCCUCACCCACUCAAUCACUAUUCUCUCUCUCUUUAUCUCACCAACUACUUCAAACAAUCACCUCAAGUAUUCACACUCAAUCCCACUCUAGUCCAGACACCCUCAGGCAGUCUCACACAUGCCACAUACACAUGCUCGACAACCUCAAGCACCCACAUAGGUGUCAAUCAAUGGGCCUUAUGUAGGAGUGGUGCACUACACACUCUACAGCGCUGUGCAUGGCACUUAAAGUUGCACACAGCACUCCAAUUGAGGGUGCCUCACCUCAUUUUUUAUAGACAGGUCACAGAGAGGUUACAAGCUGACCUACUUCCAGUCAUUACAACAUAGCACCUGAGUCAGUUAGAUAUAACACCUGACUCCAGGACCAAACUUUUCCUCCAACAAGGCCAGCUCAACUUGGAGGCCACCACCCCAAUCCAUUAUCUAGGUACUCUUAGCGCAGGGGAAUGAGUUCCAAAUGAACCCCUACUCCUGGACGCAGGAGUAGGGGUUGACGUCGUUUACUUAGACUUCAGGAAGGCCUUUGAUACGGUAUACCACACCACACCAUACUGGUGAACAAGUUAAGAGGCUGUGACUUGGAUGACUACACAGCCUGGUGGGUGGUGAAUUGGCUAGAGGGUCGUAUUCAGAGAGUCAUAGUGGAUGGGUCAGUAUCAACCUGGAAGGUGUGGGCAGUGGGGUACCGCAGUGCCCGGUCCUUGGACCGAUACUCUUCAAUGUCUUCAUCAGCGACUUGGACAAGGGAGUGAAGUGUACUCUGUCCAAGUUUGCAGAUGACACAAAACUGUGGGGAGAAGUGGACGCACUGAAGGGCAGGGAACAGCUGCAAGCAGACCUGGACAGGUUGGACAUAUGGGCAGAAAACAACAGAAUGCAAUUCAACAAGGAGAAAUGAAAAGUGCUGCACCUGGAGAGGAAAAAUGUCCAGCAUACCUACUGCCUAGGAAAUGACCUGCUUGGUGGCAUGGAAGUGGAAAGGGAUCUUGGAGUCCUAGUGGACUUCAAGAUGAACAUGAGUCGGCAGUGUGACAAAGUCAUCAGAAAAGCCAAUGGCACUUUAUCGUGCAUCAGCAGAUGCAUGACGAACAGAACCAAGGAGGUGAAACUUCCCCUCUAUCGGGCGCUGGUCAGACCACAGUUGGAAUACUGCGUGCAAUUUUGGGCACCGCACUUCAAGAGGGAUGUGGAUAACCUGGAGAGGGUCCAGAGAAGGGCCACUCGUAUGGUUAAGGGCUUGCAGGCCAAGCCCUACGAGGAGACACUAGGGCACCUGGCCCUCUUCAGCCUCCGCAAGAGAAGAUUGAGAGGCGACCUUGUGGCUGCCUGUAAGUCCAUCAUGGGGGCACAGAAGGGAAUUGGUGAGGCUUUACUCACCAAGGCGCCCCUGGAAGUUACAAGAAAUAAUGGCCAUAAGCUAGCAGAGAGCAGAUUUAGACUAGACAUUAGGAAGAACUUCUUCACAGUUAGAGUGGCCAAGGUCUGGAAUGGGCUCCCAAGGGAGGUACCGUGGGGGUCUUCAAGAGGAGGUUAGAUAGGCAUCUAGCUGGGAUCAUCUAGACCCAGCACUCUUUCCUCCCUAUGCAGGGGGUCGGACUCGAUGAUCUAUUGAGGUCCCUUCUGACCCUAGCAUCUAUGAAUUUAUGAAUCUAUGAAAAAAACAAGAACCUUAGCUAAUGCAAGACAUAUAAAUGAAACAAAAGGAAAAAAAAAUCAAACAGACACAGUGUCUUCAGGUUCAGUAUAGGAAUCCUGCUCUCUGAGAGGGGUUUGAGCCUGCCAAAUCUUCCCUCUCCCUUUCCCCACACCUGCUGGUUCAGGACAGCUUCUGACUGGCUGCACCCAACUGGUCAAAUUCCCAGUGGUGGGGCUUCCUCAAGCAUCUGCAUUAUUCUUAUCUGCUAUCGAUGUGCAUCAAUAAAAUUUGCCUAUUAUUGAAUGGAGAAGUCAUGGUGAGGCUAUGGGUUUGGGUCUGCCCAGAACAAGGUAUCUAGGUCAUAAAUCCAGUGUCAACAGCCUCUAUUGGGAGAACCCCAAAGAUCCAUGCAUUCUUUGGGCCUAACCUACUUAUCUGAUGAUGAAGGACAAAAAAUGUGAGUGUUAACCUGCAGGAUUUCCAGGCCUAUUUGAGAGAAUAGGUAACAUAUAGGUCACUUGGUCCUUAGUAAUUAGUUCUGUCAAAGUAUGUCUUGAGAGACACCAUUGAUGCUCAGCAAAUAAUGAAAUAAAAUAUUAAGAUUUAAUUAAGAAUAAAGGAAGAAUGAUUGUUUUCAUAAAAUAGGCAGGAUACCAAUACAAGGAUUGAUUGAUAUGUCUAAGCCACACAGUGAUUCAUUUGCAGGGAUGGGACUACAAUAAGGUAGGAAUGGUUAACUGAAAAAUUGUUCUUCAGGAAAAAGUUAAAAUAUAUCAUUUUACUUAAACAUUUUCAUGAAUCACUUUAUUUAAUUUUUCCAAUAUUUAGUUAGAUAAUUCAAACUCUCUAAAAACUAGUAUUUGGGGGAGCAGGGAAGUUGUUUACAAAACUGAAAACUUUCUGUUGACUUUCUGUUUUUCAUCUUUCAGGACAUUUUCUUUCUCCCUUCUUUCUUUCAAUUUGCUUCUGAAAAUACUUGGGGAGAUUCAACUGAAAAAUAAUAAAAUGUGUGCAUGUUUUGUAUGGUUUUUUUUAUUUUCAUUUUUUUUUAAAUCUGUAGGCCAAAGUUUUUCUUGAAAUAAAUUUUAGGUAAAAAAUAGAAAAUAGUUCUAGAAUUCAGAAUUUGUAUCCUUUUAUUUCGAUUACUCUAACUGUGAUAUCAACGGGACUGAACAAGAAAUUAAAGAAUUGUCAGUCACACCACUGGACUUGCUUUAAUUACCAUAAUAUUAAUCAUAGUUUUGAUCUGUAAAUUUCCACGCAUUUUUGUUCUUGUUUUUCAUAAAAAAUAAGAUUAUGUAUGUAAGCAAUCAGAAUAAACAAUUUUUAAUUGUUAAUGA